UAUUCUUUUCUUGGAUCUUUUGUUUUUGGGGACCCAUAUGAAAUAAUUCUUCUUCUUCUCAUUUUCUUUGUGUUCAUAAUUAGUGACUGUUUCUUUUUUUAGGUUGUUCUCUGGGUGUUACUUUAAUUGGGUUCGAUUCAUUUCUCUUGUUUUAUGUGUUUUCUCUCAGUGAUUUCUGUGGGGUAAUAAUUGCUAGGGUUUAAAUUAGGCUGUGAUCAUUUUUAUCAUGCUGGUUGAGUUAUAGAAUAAUUGCGGGUUUGUCUGUGCGUGCUUUAGCGUGAGUUCAUAUUGUAGAUACUCCUGAGGCAUGGCGGGUCUUGAUGUUUCAAAAUAUGCUCAUAGCCCUGUGCACAAGGCCAUUGCCACGAGAGAUUAUGCCAGUCUCAGGAGAAUACUUGCUGCUCUCCCAAGGCUUGGUAAUCCGGCUGAGAUUUGUAGUGAAAUGGCAUCGUUGACUGAGGAGGAGAAGGCUGAUGCCAUCUCAGUGGUGAUUGAUAGGCGGGAUGUCCCAAAUCGGGACACCCCUCUUCAUUUGGCUGUCAAACUUGGUGAUGAGACUGCUACAGAGAUGCUUAUGGUUGCUGGGGCUGAUUGGAGUUUGCAGAACGAACAGGGAUGGAGUGCACUCCAGGAGGCAAUUUGCAAUAGAGAAGAAGGUAUUUCCAUGAUUAUAGUUAGGCAUAACCAGCCUUUGGCAUGGGCUAAAUGGUGUCGGAGAUUGCCUCGGUUAAUUGGGACUAUGCACAGGAUGAGGGAUUUUUAUAUGGAAAUUACAUUUCAUUUCGAGAGUUCGGUGAUACCUUUUAUUUCAAGAAUUGCUCCUUCAGAUACUUAUAAAAUUUGGAAGAGGGGUGCCAAUUUGAGGGCGGAUAUGACUUUAGCUGGAUUUGAUGGAUUUAAGAUCCAGAGAUCAGAUCAGACUGUUCUUUUUCUUGGUGAUGGGUCUGAAGAUGGAAAGGUUCCUCCUGGAUCACUUUGCAUGAUCUCACAUAAGGAUAAGGAGGUGAUGAACACUUUGGAUGGGGCUGGUUCUCAAGCUACAGAAGAAGAGGUUCGACAAGAAGUGGCUGCAAUGUCUCAAACUAAUAUAUUUAGGCCUGGGAUUGAUGUGACUCAGGCAGUUCUUUUGCCGCAGUUGACAUGGAGGUGGCAGGAGAAAGCAGAGAUGGUGGGUCCAUGGAAGGCAAAGGUAUAUGAUAUGCAUAACGUAGUUGUUAGCAUUAAAUCCAGGACAGUCCCUGGAGCCAUGACGGAUGAUGAGUUCUUCUCAUCUUGCAAUGAAAAUGAAACAGGGAGUGAGGAGCUUGAUGAUAUUUUGACAGAAGAUGAAAGAAGGCAACUUGAGGUUGCACUCAAAUCAGAUAGGUCAGAAAUGAGCAAUGAGAAUGGUGAUGGGAUUAUCGCUCAUUGUCACAGUUGUUAUGACCAUAGGGAGAUUCCCAUUGAUGGUGUGAGUUGUUGUAGAAAUGGAAACACUAAACAGGAAAAAAAAGGAUGGUUUGGUGGAUGGAGGAAAAGAGAUUCUAAACCGGAAGAACAGAAGAAGAUUGUACCACCAAGAAGUUCUCUUUGUGCUGAAGAGAAGUUGAGUAAUCUUCUAGGGGACUCUCCUUCUGGAAGUCAGAUAAAACCAGGAAGGCAUUCUGUUGAGCUUGUUGCAAGGGAUGAGCACCAGAGAGGAAGGGAUACCAGAACAUCAGCUUCUGUAAUCUCUGAGAGUGGACAUCGGCGCAAGGAUGGAGGCCGUGAGAAUGAGUAUAAGAAAGGGUUGAGGCCUAUUCUCUGGCUUUCCCCAAACUUCCCCCUGCAAACUGAAGAACUCCUGCCAUUGCUUGACAUUCUUGCAAGCAAAGUUAAGGCAAUUCGUCGUUUAAGAGAACUGCUUACUACGAAACUCCCAUUGGGAACCUUUCCAGUUAAGGUUAUCUUAUUCUAGUUGCUUUUCUCCCCCUGGAUCCAAGCAAUCAGUUCACGUUUUAAGUUACACGUUUCAUACUGGAUGCCAGUUUAGUGCUAUAUGGCCUUUGCCCAGCUGGGCUAUUGGAGUUGAUCAGAAAGACAGCAAUAUAUGCCAUGUGCACUAUGUAUAAAAUAUGUUCAGCUCCUGCAUACUUUGCCUGUUAUUGGAGAUUGGAAUAUCUUUAGUUUGUGGUGUUGUCCGAUUGUCAUUUGGUAUUUCAAGAUGUGAGGCCUAUGUCAACUCACAAUCUUCUUACAUCUAAUGAGAUUAUUGUUUGUCAGAAGGUGAAACUUUCUUCUUCAACUGACUUUGCUUGUCUGUGGAUGUUAUUCUGUUUUUUUAAGAGUUAAUUUUUGAAAGAUAGCAUUCAUGUCAACCCCUUCAAGUAAAAUUGCUAUUGUUGUCACUGUUUUGUUCUUAGAUGUUGAGCAUUUUCUUUCCUCAUAUACAUUUCAUCAACUACUGGAAAUAGGUAUCUACAUGGUAUGAUUUCAAGCUCUGAAUGGAGAAUGAAUUAUUCUAAUUUCAUUUAUUGCACACGAAUUCAAUUCAUAAUAAGCGGCUUAUACGCUUGAAGAAAACAUUUAGCCCAGGAUUACACAUAAUAUUUCAGUGAGGAUGAUAUCUGAGAUAUGUAGAGUCAUUGAUUUUGUUUCCCUUUAUUUAUAUAAUCAAGAAAUGAUAUGUUGUGUCAUAUCAGUCUACGAGGCCUAAAGACAGUGUGAUUCUGUUAGAUACCCAGCCAAUAUUCACCCACCAACAGCAAACAACACAACAUUUAAGAAGCAUAAACUAUUUUAUUGAUAAAGAGGGAUUUACAAAGGAUAAACCGGCAAUUCAAAGAGUCAGACUUCCCAAUUCUGGCCAUUCUAGGUGUUGGAAUCCUCCCAAAUCAGCCUAAAAGGCUGCCCUUGGCCAAAGGUGCUCAAAACCCUAAUUUUCUUUCUUCUCCUCCUUUAACAAUCAUUUAUUUACUCAAUCUAACCUCUAGAAUUUGGACAUGUGUCCCAAAAAGCCCUAAGUCCUUACAUAUUCAUUUUACAUUGGUCCAAUCGUUCUCACUAUCUGCAAGCAAUCUUUAUUUUGCCUAUCUUACCUAAGUUUCCCUUACUUCUCUACAGAGCAACUUUUCAUGGUCAUCCAAGAAAUCCGUGCUAGGCACCUACUUAUCUAGUUGAAGAAGUGCUUAUUAAAUUUGCAAUGUUAGAAGCAAGAAUGAGGUAGAAUUGAGUUUUCCUACUUUAGGCAAGGCCUCUUUGUUGUCAAUCUUGAAUGUUGGAGUGUUUCCCUCAUAUAAAUUUUUCUUGAAAUCUUCUAGUAGAAAAAACACCUUCAAGUAAUCACCUCUAGUUGCCCACAUGUAGUGUAAAUGCUCAAAUGCUGAAACUAGGAAGAAAUCUCCUUGCGUAUGGGUCUGUUCAGAGUGAACUUUGAAAGGGGUUAAGAACUUUGAGAAAGUUUCCUUUAGUCUUUUUAUAUAGAGAUUGUUUUCCUUUAUCAGUAAGAAUGGGAACUUGUUUUUUGGAGAUAAAUUAUCUGGAAAUUCUGAAGUAUCUCCCGUAGGAUCUGUCAAUGUUAUGUUGGUGUGUGGGUUACACAUCUUGGAUUGCUUCAAUAAGUCUUUUCAUAGGAAAACCCUAUUACUUGGCACUUUAUUAUUACCAGGUUGUUGGUUGUAGCUGGUACCCACUUAGUUGAGGAGUAAAAAAUGAGCAACGGAGAGAAAUGCUAUAAAAUAGUACUUUGAAAAAAUGUUCUUAAGCUGCCACUCAAGAAGUUUGAUUGAUAUACCAAGUCAACUGAUAAUCACAUUCACCAUAGUUAUUACUCUGAAGAAUUUAAACCAACUUGCAUAAUUGUGCAUUGUGUCACAAGAGAAUCAGUGUUACACAUUUAGACUCCUGAGGCCAGCUAUCAUCGGUGCAGAACUGAUCCAAACAUGUUUAGUUUGGUACAAUUAAAGUUGUAGUUUUAUUAAGAAAAUGAAUAGAACAUUUUGUUUAUAAUUUGUUGACAACCAGGUUGGACUGAGUUACUGAUGUCUAACCACCAACCUAUGGUACUCGUGACUGAGUCAUUGACAUUGGACUAUUCUAUAUGAUACUAUGUACAUAAACCAAGAAAAUAAAUUAUCUUUGGGAUCCUUGGGUUUUGUAUACUGGUGAGGCUGAUGAUGUUUAACAUCAGAAUCUAGGGAAUUUGAACUUGUUGAAAGUUUUUGAUUUGUAGUAUGUGUAAACCUAAGAUCUGGUGCUGCCGGGUGUAUUUAUGUGAACUGCUUUAGAUUGGAUAAAGAAAGUGAGGGUCUUGAUUAUCUCAAUCCCUUUGAACUUGGCCCAGAUUUCUGACACCAAGAGUUUGACUAAUAUUGAAUUCUUGCUUUUUAAGUAAAAAAACAGAGGUGGUAGGUUCAUGGCGUCAUGAAAUAAACUUAGGGUGCAAGCAUUUCUAAAUUCAGGCCAUUCGAUCUUUGUUGUUGUUGACUUUGAAUUAGUGUAACAAGAGUGUGUGUUUAUACAAGAUCAACAGGUAGAAGUGGAUCUAGCUGGUUGGAGUUACAUAGAGCACUUUGUGGUAGCCUGCUUUUGCCAAAAUUUUGUUCUGCUUUACUUAUGGCAAUUUUCCGGAGCAGUACCUUGAACAUUUGGUUUUACUAUUUUACUUCUGUAUUAUUGUUAGCUGCCUCAUUAUACCUGUUCAUUAGUCCUUUGUUGCUGC